rnacentral:rRNA from 1 species
AUUGAACGCUGGCGGCAGGCCUAACACAUGCAAGUCGAGCGAGCGGCGGACGGGUGAGUAAUGUCUGGGAAACUGCCUGAUGGAGGGGGAUAACUACUGGAAACGGUAGCUAAUACCGCAUACCAUCAGAUGCGCCCAGAUGGGAUUAGCUAGUAGGUGGGGUAAUGGCUCACCAAGGCGACGAUCCCUAGCUGGUCUGAGAGGGUGACCAGCCACAUUGGAACUGAGACACGGUACAGACUCCUCGGGGAGGCAGCAGUGGGGAAUAUUGCACAAUGGGCGCAAGCCUGAUGCAGCCAUGCCGCGUGUAUGAAGAAGGCCUUCGGGUUGUAAAGCACUUUCAGCGAGGAGGCGUUACUCGCAGAAGAAGCACCGGCGAACUCCGUGCCAGCAGCCGCGGUAAUAC